AAAGUUGCCAAGGUUGGAGACCCCUGCUUUAGAUGUCUCCCCGAAGAAUAGAUGGCUGAGAGGCCCAACUUCCGGUUCUGGGAAUUAAUUAGAAAGUGAUGGACAAAUGAUACUGUUGAUCUUUCUUUUGUUGUUGUUGUUUUCUUCCUUUCACGUUACUCUUCAGCCAUAAGUCUGUCUCUCAAGAGGCCUAUGCAAAUUGUCUCUAUUUAUAACCCCAAACUUUGUAAAAGAUGUAUAUUUAAUAUUUAACGGAGGUUGUAUGUUUUCGCAAGGAAGAUCCCAAACUGUUCUCUGUGUUUUUGGGGUCCCUAAUUCAUGGUUCACAAGUGGCCACAAAAUUUCACAGGGUGAAAUGGAUAUAUUUAUAUUUAAAAGUCUUACCCGUUCCUUGUAGAUAAGCUCUGUAGAAUAUAUAAGUGUUACUCAAUUAUCAUGGCGUAACUGAAAAGCAGUAUUUAAUAUAUAUCCCAGACUUUGGUUUAUACCGACGGUUGUCAAAUGGCAUGUGAUGUGACUCUGGAAAUGAGGAGUCCAUGACCGCCAGCUUGUAAAUUUUCAUUUCAAGGCUUGCUUAACGGUAACAUUAUUUAUUGAGUUCUGUUACAACUAAAACAUCUCAAGAAGCCAAUCUGGAAUGUUUGCACAAAAUUCUGCCAUAUAUGUAGGGAUUCAGAAAUUAUUUUUCAUAAUAAAGCUUACAUUUUUUUAAACCCUAUUUUUAAAAAUGCCAAACGCAUUUAUGUACACAUACACACUUGGGGGAAAUCUUGGGAAGUCACAAAAGAAACAAAAAUGUUUUAAUCUUUGGGGAAAGUUGAUAGACAGUCGCUGGAGACUGAGAAAUUCUGUCCGAUAGGCCAUCAAUGGAAGGGAGGGUUAACCACAGAAACAGAAGUUGCAAAUGUGAUUCAAUUGUCUUGAAAUCUUAUUCCAGUAUCAAUCUGAGAACACUUGUUUGAAAUGGCAUUUUUUAAAAAAACACUUAAAAGUGUUAAAUGAAAUUUGAAAAAUCUACCACAGCAUUGAUUUUGAGCUCUGCUGAAUAUUAGUUAUAGAAUGUUUCUUAUAGAAAAACGCACCCUUUUAAAAAAAAUAAAAUCAGAAUAACCUCCCCAAAUCUGGCACCCUCCAAAUAUGUCAGGCUAAAUCAGAGUUCUUCAAACUUGGCAGUUUUAAGACUUGUGGACUUCAACUCCCAGAAUUCUCCAGCCAGCUAUGCAUAGCUGGAGAAUUCUGGGAGUUGAAGUCCACAAGUCUUAAAGCUGCCAAGUUUGAAGAUCUCUGGGCUAAAAUCUUCCAUCGUCCUCAAAUAACCUGGCUUGUUAGCUGGAAACCGUGGUGUAUUUGGAGGGCGCCAGAUAGGCUAAAUUAAGCCAGGGAAAAGUAGCUUUGCUUUUCUUAAGCAGGAUAAGUAAGAAAUAUAUGCAGCCAACUUAAGUUUAUCAUCGAAAGACCGACCAAGAGCCCUUAGCUGUGUUUGUGUCGCUUGUAAACCUUGAAGGUACGCAGUGAAAUGUUCUUGAUGUUGUUGGCCAGAAAAUGCUUUCUUGAGGGGGAAAAAAAAACCCCGUUUUCUUCAAAUGGCAGACAUGCUUUAAGCUUCAGUUGCCUUUUUUUUCUGUGAUCAGGGAUAGCGGUUGAAGGAGGGUUGCGUUUAAAACGGGCAGGGGUUUUCUGUCAUAACGCUAGCCCCACAAACUUUGAUGUGGAUCACACCUUGUUUAAUCCAAGCUGACCAGCACAUCAGUCCAGGUAGCUGGGGUUGAACCCCUGGCUAAUCCGUCUGGCACUGUGCCGGAGCAGCCGGAGCCUGUCAAGCAAGCAGUUGUCCAAGCAAGCUGACUGAUCCAAUGGGACCCAAGGGUCUGCCUCCUUUCGGCACUAUAAAUAAGACGGAAUCCUAUGUAGUUGCACAAACGGCAGUCCAGAAGGGAUUAAAAAAAUUAAAAAUCUACAACCACUUUCUUGCUGUUUUUGACACCUUGAACAGACUCGAGCUGUUCUUCCCCCAAUAGUUAACACCCAUCUUCUUGUCCCAAUCAGGGCGUGGAUGUACCAUGUCAACAGAAGAUGCCUAACCACCCAGGGGUACCUGUAGAGUUAGACCGAGGAAAAACAUUGGAGAGGGUUGUCCCAUUUCUCAGUGGCAAGAAAUAACCGUAAUCCAGUUUAUUAAAAGCGCGACUGCGUCAGGUUGAAUUUCUAUAUCGGUACCAGUAUUUCAGUAUGCAUUGGGAGGCCUUCAAGUAGCAUUUUUAAAUUCAUGUUCCCAGCGUUACUGUUAGCCAGAGGUCUUCAAACUUGGCAGCUUUAAGACUUGUGGACUUCAAUUCUCCAGCCAGCUAUGGAAUUCUGGGAGUUGAAGUCCACAAGUCUUAAAGCUGCCAAGUUUGAAGACCUCUGCUGUAAGCACUUAAUGAGAAGUAACCCUUGGAAGGUGGCCUCUUCGCUUCAGGAAGAUACAGCACUUGGGGGGGAAUUACUUUCCAAAGAUAACAGUCGCCUUUUGCUCCCAAUUCCAUUGUCAUACUGGCCAGUGAGAAGCAAGCUGGUGGUAGCAGAUAGCAGCAUGCGAGGUUGAUGUUCAACUUCUAAACUGUGUCUUGAGGCAACUUGGAAGUCCCUCGCCCAGAGGGGGUUGACUGAGCUGCCCUGAGUCGUAACUUCGGGCAUUGAUUGGGCAAAGCCAAGGUGGGACCGGGUGGGUUUUUAAUCAUGGUUUGUGAGUCUCCCUUAUACAACUGACAGGGCCUACCUUUUUGAAUGCAGUUUUGUUGGAGAAAGUUCUUACGUAUGUUUAGGAUGUCCAGUGGAUGAAAGGCAUUUCUUAUUUUCAAAGCUGGCCUGCAGUGUGACUUGAAGGCUCAUUCAAAGUUGCUAGGAGUCUCAGAUAGGCAGCCAGAUUCCCAGUGGCCUUAAUGAUUUCUUUAAAGUGGGGGGGGGGGGAAAUCUGGGAUUUUAUUAAUCUUUACUUUUGGCUAACAUGCAUUGUGUCCAUUGGAUUCUGCUGCAUUAUGCAAUAAUUCCUAAGGUAUUUAAACCACUCCAAUGUGUAUAAUGAAGUGGAACAAAACAGAUUUGCACUUGAUGAGCAUGGAGUUGUGCCUAAAUUUAAAGAUUAAAUUUAAAGGCUGAAGCAGUGAAAUAGUUUUUCAGUAUAUAUUAAUGUUCGUGUUUCAGGUUUUUUAAACAUAAAUCCUCCUUUCCAUGGAGGAUUCAGCCCAUAAAAUGCCUCUUCAUUAUCCCAAAAUAUUCGUGGAACGGUGGCUUGCAUGCCUACACAACCUGGUCUUGCAAAGCUUUUGUCUUGUUAAAGCAUCUUCUUUCUGAACCUCCACAUUCUUCAUGCCAUAACUCAAAAGUGAAAAUCCCUAAAACGUUUGCCAAAGCUAAGGCUUGCCGUUAGAAUUGCUUGAUUUAAUUGUGGUUUUUUUUAAAAAAAAAAUACUCUGCAAUAACUACCACCUGCCUUGUGCAAACAAGGAGCAUUGCAUAUUUCAAGAGUUUGGAAUCCAGUUAUAGGGACUUGCAAACUGACUUAGUCUCAAAUGCUGUGUUUGGAGGUCAAUAGAGUGUCCUUGCCACCCAUUCUUUGCGUGCCUGAAGCCAUUUGUCUGAUGGUACAUUAGCAUCCUAAGGUUCAUUUUUCCCCCCCACCCUCUUUUUUUUUUUUGGCAUUAUUGUUGCUUUUGGUAGACCAACCUGCUACCGCCAGAAGCAUCCUGGCACCAGACUGACAAUUCCAUUUGCUCUGCCCUCCAUCAUUGUAGCGGUUCUUCAAAUGCAACGGACCUGGUCCAGCUGAAGUGGGCCAAGGCCUUUGAAGACCCCCUAGAUUUAAACUUGUCCUUGCCUUUGGCUGGUGCAGCCUCUGUGGUUGUGGGAUGUGGGAUUAUCGUGUCAGUGAGUAGUGCCUUGUUGAAACACGAUCAUGGUUAGAGAGGACUAGCUGGGUCUUCAGAAACUAAGUUAAAGUUGAGAAACACUGGCCUAAAGGAAAAGGGAAAAAAAAAGAGAGAAAUACUGUAUAUUGGAACCUGCUUGUAAAGAUAAUUUAAAAAGCCUGUAUGUAAAGACUUUCCUCAGUGUUGCUUUAGUGAAUAAACUUCCUAAUUCCCAGUG